GGAAGAAGAACAUUGCUGUAUUAUCUUAUGACUACAAUGUUUGGAGAGUAAUUUGUUUAUUUGCAUUUAACCUGGAAAUGUUAACGUGAAAGAACCAGAACCAAACGAAGAAAAAGUUGAACCAAUACAUUCUGUGCUUGACGUAAUAAGCCAUGGAUAACAAGCCUGAUAAAACUUCGAACAACACGAGACGUUCAGAAAAUGAGCAAAACGACCAAAGCAGUGGUGAGGAAAACUUUCAAGAUCGUCGAGGAGAAGUGACAGCGGAAAUGGAAAAUGGUACUGGAGGUUAUCCCAUACAAGAAAGCCGUAUUGAAGAAUUCAAUUUUUCGCCUUAUAUACCAGAAGAACUUUAAAUUGACUUUGGCCUAAUGUAUUAGAACCUUUAUAUUUUGAAGUAGCCCUUCACCUUAUAUGUUUUAUAGUUUUACUAUUCACAUUUCAAUUAACUGUAAAUCAUUUAUCCCUAUUUGUAUAUUUAAGUAUCAUAUUCAUUAUUUAUCAUCGUAAAAAUAACCAUUCACUAUGUAAUAGUGUAAAUGCAAGCACUUGAAAACGCAUCUUGUUUCAAAAACGGAAACUUUCAAGGACAUUUUGUUUACAUCUUGGGUAGCUAAUUGACAAUUAAUUAAUGUAGCUAUUUAAUAACUUUCCUUAAACUUUUGUAUGUAAAAUAUAUAUUUAUUUUUCUAUUUAUGUCAUUAUUAACUUUGAAUGGAGUGAUAA